rnacentral:tRNA from 1 species
GCAGGUGAGGUGUCAACGGCUGCACGCCAGGUUCCCAACCUGGAAGACAGGGUUCGACUCCCUGUACCUGCA